CUGUAACUGAAGUGGCUCCUUCUUCUCUUGCUGUCAAAUUGGCCAUUUCGACAUCUAUUAACUAAUACAUCACUGUGGUGGCUGACAGUGGAGGAUCUGAUGGAAGCUGAAUCUGUGUGCAAGUUCCAGCUCUGCCCCUUCAACCAGGGGAAAAUGACUUGCCUUUCUCUGAGGCUCUCUUUCUAGAUCAUUACAUUGGGUAUUUCUAUUUUGAUCUGAGAACUGGCAGAUUUUACCUGAAUAAGCCUAAAAGGGGAAUCACUCGAGAGGUCUACAACAGCAAACUACCCACAUGGACGGGAAGGCAUUUCUAAAAUACUCUGGAGCCAGAUUACAAGGUUCCAUGACUUGUGAAUGGAACCAGCCAAACAAAAAUCAUCUGAAUUGGGAAAUGAUCAGAGACAAAUUAAGAAGUUAAGCUGUGGAGAAAUCAUGAUGUGUCCCCAGCUCACUAAGCCAGUAACUGAUGUAGACAGGAUGCAAAUCAGCUGUCAGAGAAUAAAGCCUACAAGCUUAAAGAAUCAGCAAACUAAAAUGGACAGGAAUGGGCAAAUUUAAUUCAGAUGACCAUUAUAUCU